CGCGACCUGCUCUCUCUAUCAUUCCCUCUCCCACACGCCUCCUCAAGCGACCCCACCUCGCGCUCCCGAUGCUGCGCCGACACCUCCUCCCCUUCUCUCACGGCCUCCACAAGCAUCCGCAAAUCCUCCCUCUCCCAUAAUCUCCUGUUUUUGCCUCUCAAUCACGAAUCAGGAUCCAUGGAGGUUUCCGACAAGUGCUACUCGAUCUGCUAUACGGCAGCGGCCGGGACCGCCGGCCGUGGGUCUGCGUCUCGCUGCUCAUCCUCCGGGAGGCUACACGCGGAGGGAACUCGCUGUUGGCGAGGUUCCAUGGAGUGCCAAGCGGGUGCUUUUCGCCAGCGGGGACGAGCAUGACCUUCUAUUCCCCGGCUCUUCACCCCCAAGGGCACCGACCCCAGGAAGAUCCCUAGGUCGCCCUACAGCAUGAUGAUGGGGAUCGAAGCGUCGGUGCUCCAAUCCGGUGGAGGGGUGGCGGCGGAGGUGCAGGCCCAAAACACUACCCAGAAGGAGGCGCCCCGGAUGAGCAACACACUCGUGUUCCUCCCGCUCAUGGAGGACGCGCUCUCGGUCGCCGGCGGUUUCGUUCUGUCUAUGGCGAUGGGUUGCCUCUUCUUCUCCAUUCGUGUGGUCAGUUUUUGCGACUACGGAAUUGUGAUAGGAUAUUCUUGAGUAUUUAGUUCUUCAGUACUGUUAAUUGAACAUACACUGGAAGUCAAAUUUCCAGGUAAAUCUGAUCAAGACUACUAGAUGAUCCAAAUGGAGGAUUAUUUCACUUUCAGACCCACUUUGUAAUUGUACAUCAUUGUCUUACCACAGAAGUUUAGAUGGACAUAGUAUCCAGGAUACCAACUAUUUGGAACUCCUCUCUACAAAAAAAGGCUUAAGGGGAUUGGUAACUGGAGUUCAGACCAUAAAAUUAUUCCAAUUCCCAUGCCUACAGUAUUGUAUACACAGAUUUCAGAGAGGAAUAGAUGGAUAGAUGAGCAAUGGACCAUUAAAGUUGCUUUCAUUGGUUCUCUUAGGGACCAUUGCAAAAGGUGUUUUUGUUUGGAUAAAGGUCAUCGAGCUAAGGUAAGCUCUCCAUAGACUGGAACAUUAUCAUGUCCUCGUCGGCGAGGAAGCCAGGUGACCUUCUCAUCCAAUGUCUUUCCCUCCUUAUCCCUUUCUCCUAUCGCAGUUCCCUCUCAAUGCGUUAGUUUCUUUCGUCGUCGCUAGGUUCCCAUGGCACUCUGCCACGCUCGCUUCAGUAGCUCGUUGAUUAAGAGGUACGAGUGGGUGGCCAGCUGCAAUGUCUAGAUGGAAGACCUCUCCUGUUCAGAUUUAUUUUGGGUUCUUGAUUCCUUUUUCCCAAUGGUUAUAUGUAAUUAGUACAACAUUAGGAAAAAAUUAUACCAUGUUUGUGGCUGGAUGCAUUGAGUUGUUGGAAUUGUUGUAUUAGAAGUGCACUCUUGAUUGCCUUACCAAUGGUCCAAAAGAAUUGCACAACCGGUGAAAUUGACCGUGGUUUUAAUGUACUUUUGUUACAAUAUAGUUUUUUUAGGAGCAAAGGACAGUUGGAGAGAUCUCCCACUGACUUGUAACUAUAAAAAGAAGGACGUCAGUGACAUUUACAAUAUACUAGAGUAUAUUUCAUUAUUUCCCAGUUUGGACAUACUUCUAUUGGUUUGCUUCUCAUAAAUAUUAUCAUGCAUGUAUCAGCUGGUGAUUGUGUGAUAGUGGCGUGCUCUCAUAAAUAUUAUGUGUUUCCAGGAAGAUAAAUCCUUUCCGAAUAGGGACUAGGUUGGUUACUUCUUCUGUAAUUAUAUGUUUUAGUGAUAGCUGCUUGAUUAAAUGGUUCCAUCUGUUUCUUAUUCUUGUCAUCUAACGUAGAUAAAUAGAUUAUAUGCUUUUGUGCUGAAUUACGUGGAAGGUCGAGAUGACCGCACAUACGAAUUUAUUUAUGUUUAUUAUCGCAUGGAUGCCUACUGACCCAAAAUAUUUUUGUUUAAAAUGUUUUCCUAUGAAGUUUCUAUACUAUAUAAGAAAGUUGGUCUCAACUAUUUGAGGUCAUAUUCUAUUUUAAAGAUUACUCAUAUAGUUUCAUAGCUGAUUCAGUUGCAUUCGUUGAGAACAGGUGUUUGUAUCAAUCUUGUUUUUCAGGUUACUUGUAUUACAUAUUGAUGGAUUUCUUGCAGGCUUGUACGCCAGAUUUUAUUUCAACUGAAAGUAUUCUUUUCUUUGACAAGAGGGUAUGUAUUCUGGACAAAUUCUGUAAUUAUAUGUUUCCAGUGAUAGCUGUUAGAUUAAAUGAUUGGUCCUAUCCAUGUGUAAUCAUGUAUUAUUUGGGAUGAGACUUGUAUUUUUAGUCAGUAUAAUUUUGUAAUGGAUUGAACAUAUUCCUGUAAUUUUGAACUGUGAAACACAUAGAAGUUAGUUAAUUUUGGUAGUAUUUGUGGCUUGUUGUGCUCACCCCAGAGGCAUCGCAGAAGCUUUCCCAUGUUUUGAACUGAUGUCAUCCUUGCUACGACAAUUCUUGAUCUUGGGCCACACCAGAUUCAUACGUUUUGUGAAUCGGUGGGUCAUAUAAUUGAAGUUGAAUCUGAUAAUACCAAGAGUCUAAGAGGGACGAAUACCUGAAGAGAUUGAUGAGCCUUCCUAAUCAGGUUCCCUUCUAGCAUGCAUUUUUACCUUCUUUAUCAUUUCUCUUAAGGAUAGUCUUUACAAGGUUAUCUUGUGAUUAGUUUGAUUUGAAAAUAAUGGGCUGAAAUAAUUCGACAAGCGGGCCAAAGCAUUGAUAUCCUGAAGAACCACAAUGUUAUCAGAUCUCUUCUUAACAUUUUGCAGGUAAUAAUCGAGCCUGUAUUUGAAUCUUGUGGCCUUAGGCAGUGUUGUUAGUUGUUUAUUGUUGUGAAGUUCUUUACUUCUAUACCUACUAAUAAAAGAAAUAGGUAUUCUUGGUCCGUCAUCGUUUUUGCAGAAAAACCCUUCACUUUUUUAAGAGCCAACCCGCAAUCCAGAAAAAAGCUCGUCCCAGAAUUUCUGAUCCCUACAUGGGCUGGCCAGUCCCUAGCGUGGGCCAAGGUGGGCCUGGUUCGCUUCUUUCGAUAAGAAGGAAAAAUAUAUACACGCAGAGGACUUGAACUUGAGACCUCCACUACCGACCACAACAGAACAACCAACUCACCUACUCCCUCCGUUCCAAAAUAGAUGACUCAACUUUGUACUAACUUUAGUACAAAAUUAAGUCAUCUAUUUUGGAACGGAGGGAGUAUCAUUUUUCCCCGUGCAAAACCUGGUCGUUACCUAAUUAUGAGUUGCCUAGAAAAUGGAAACUACCUCAAAAAAAAAGGAAUGCACGUGUCAAUUAAAAAAAAUCCCGCUAAAUGUGGACAUGAAGAUGACAAUAAAAGUGAAAGACUCGAGAUAAGGAAGGACGUGCAGGAAAUUGACUCCAAUUAUAUGGAUUGUGGGCAUUAUUGGAGAAUUAAAUGGGAUUUCGGGAAACCCAAUAAAGGACCACAUGCACGCCGUAUUUCUUUCCAUGAAAUGGAAUUUUCAUGACAUAAUUGGCCGCAUUUCUUUCCAUCAAAUGGAAUUUUCAUGACAUAACUGGCCGCAUUUCUUUCCAUUAAAUGGAUUUUUCUUCACGUAAUUGGCUCCCUAAUAAAUGUUACUGUGCUGAAAUUUGUUAGAUAGCCCAACAAUUAAGUCGGUUUAAACGGGGAGAAGACGUUGCACCCCAUAAGAAAAAAUAAAAUUAAAAGGCAGCACAACAUCUCCACACGUUUUUUGGAACAAACAUAAAAGAAUUCCCUCAAAAACCACAAACAUACAAUAAAAUAUAGUAUUAUUUAGAUGCAUAUAUGGGAGUACAAGAUGCGUAAUAUGCCUUAGAUGAUAGAUAGGAUUAAUUCGGACUAUAUAAAAGUCAGUGUUGGGAUAGCGAAGUUAUGUAAUCAACUUUUGUUCCCAGUAACAAAAUGGAUAAUUGAAUUUUGUUGUGCUAAAUUUUCAUAGUCUAAUUUUUAAAUAUCUUUAGGACAUAUUAGUACAUGGUUUUUACAUUAUUUAAUUUUACAUGUUGUGUUUUCUAGACGCAAAGAUAUUUUUUAAUUUCCGUUGCAACGCACGGGCAUACUUCCUAGUAAUUUAUAAAUUCACUAUAAGAUUGUGGUUGUCUACUUAAAGAAAUGAUAUUUGUUAGACGACCAAACUCACUUGCAUGUCAUUCCUUAAGAAGAUCAGUCUCCCAAAUGCUUUAGUUAGUUGCUAGCCAAGGCAAAAAAUAUAUGUAAUCUGCCCCGUGUGAGGGUGUGGUCUUUGUCAAGGAGUACACUACGAUGGCGAGCCGACGAUGAUGAAGGCGAGCGUCGGCUUAGUGCGGGGUAGUGAAGGGCGGUGACAGUAAUAAGAGUUGUCUGUAAUGCAUUUUCCAUGCCAUCUGGUUGUAUCUCCGUAUGUCUUCUUUCCUGUGCUAUAAAUACAAGCAAAUGUGCUACACUACCUUUGGACCAACUGUAAUGGGUGGUCCUCAUUAUCUAUAUAUUCAGUUUAAGUUUA